rnacentral:rRNA from 1 species
AUUGAACGCUGGCGGCAGGCUUAACACAUGCAAGUCGAGCGGAGAUGAGGUGCUUGCACCUUAUCUUAGCGGCGGACGGGUGAGUAAUGCUUAGGAAUCUGCCUAUUAGUGGGGGACAACAUUCCGAAAGGAAUGCUAAUACCGCAUACGUCCUACGGGAGAAAGCAGGGGAUCUUCGGACCUUGCGCUAAUAGAUGAGCCUAAGUCGGAUUAGCUAGUUGGUGGGGUAAAGGCCUACCAAGGCGACGAUCUGUAGCGGGUCUGAGAGGAUGAUCCGCCACCCUGGGACUGAGACACGGCCCAGACUCCUACGGGAGGCAGCAGUGGGGAAUAUUGGACAAUGGGGGGAACCCUGAUCCAGCCAUGCCGCGUGUGUGAAGAAGGCCUUAUGGUUGUAAAGCACUCUAAGCGAGGAGGAGGCUACUGAGACUAAUACUCUUGGAUAGUGGACGUUACUCGCAGAAUAAGCACCGGCUAACUCUGUGCCAGCAGCCGCCGUAACAC